rnacentral:rRNA from 1 species
UACGGAGGGAGCUAGCGUUGUUCGGAAUUACUGGGCGUAAAGCGCGCGUAGGCGGCUUUGUAAGUUAGAGGUGAAAGCCCGGGGCUCAACCCCGGAACUGCCUUUAAGACUGCAUCGCUUGAAUCCAGGAGAGGUGAGUGGAAUUCCGAGUGUAGAGGUGAAAUUCGUAGAUAUUCGGAAGAACACCGGUGGCGAAGGCGGCCCACUGGUCCGGUACUGACGCUGAGGUGCGAAAGCGUGGGGAGCAAACAGG